UUAUCGUUGUCUCCGUUCCUCAUCAUCAUUAUCAGCAGCAUCGCCACAAGACACGCAUCCACGCCAUUUUUGUUACUGCCCUGCUAGCUAAGAACCCACGGAGCAAACAUGAGAUACAUCGCGGUGGCAUUCCUGCUGUCGAUCCUUCUCUUUGACGUUGUUGUCGGCGAUGGAGCGAAGGAACAAGACCGAGACAAACGGUCCGUUGAUCAGGCCGGCAACCGGGCCAGGCGUGCGCUCCGUUCCCCUCAUCAGGGGCUGAUCAACCCGGCCGACCUGGGCAUGCGACUCAGCCGUCGAUCCGACCCGUUCCGCCGGGCACUGAGAACGAAGCGGUACCGGAGAAUGGCCGAAGACCCGGAGAUGUACAAGCGGGGAAUGUCUGGAGGGAAACAUAUCCGGGUCAAGAAGGCAAACAAGGCUUAAUAAUUGAUUGUGAUCUCAGAAAGCACAAGAAUGUGAUGCUAGGCGGGGAGAUGGCUAUGGGCGCAGAGAAAUUAACAUGAAGACGGCAAGAAAAUAAAACAAGCGAAGGAUAGGUUUACACUUCAAAAUUUCAGUCAAUUAUCGACGACAAACUCACAAUAGAUAGUUCACGCAGGUAACCCCUUCAGUUUUAAUCAUUGUGACUAUAAGAAAGUUAGAAUACCGUGCACUUGAAUGCUUUUAACUGAAAAUUAAAUAAUUCCACGCACAAAUUCACAGUUCUUGCCAUUUAUGUUCUUCAAAAUGAAAAAAAGGGUCAAUUGAAAAUGAACGGGUUGUAUGCACUUUGUCUUUCAGUACCAUAUUCUAUAAAACUGAAAGAAAAAUUUAAAAAAAUGUAAAUAUUAACAUUUUUAUCUAUUGUUCUAUGUGAUUAGUAAUGCACGAAGUGGCGUAACCAGGUUUUAAAACACAAUCGAUAAAGAGAAAUGCACUCCAAUUAACUUGCACUUUAAAUAUGUAUCAAGAGUUAAACCCCUUGUUUUAUGACUUCAGACAAGAAUGUUUAUGUGUGCAAAUUUUGAACCAAAAAAAAAACCUUUCAAUGCAAAUACUGGAGUCCACGCCCCCAUGUUUAAUAUUGAAAAUGUAUAAAGAAACACACAACUUUGCUAGAUAUGCCACUGUUGAUUAUAAGCUUGCACUGAAAACUAUAAUGCACUUUGCGCCCUUUCACUGUAGGUCUUGUUGUAGCGAUCGGCAUCUUUCAAGUUAUGGUAUUUGUGCAAUAUUCCACCGCAAGAAAAUUGAGUGUAUUACGUCAAAACGAAGAUUGGUAUUAAAAUUACGGAGUUGGCCAUGGGUUUUGUAGGGUGGUUCAAAAUGAAAAUUAUGAACAGUUUUGUGGAUGAAAAUCAAAGGUUAUGAAAGAGACGUCCGUCACGUAAUCCUUGGAUAAGCAUGUAUAUUAUCUCAGUUUCAAAUUGAUAGUAUGUUUUCAACAAAAAGUAAAAUAUAAGUAUGUUAUAAAUUUCUAUUUUGUGUUCAAAGAUUGUCCAUCAAAUUAUUGUAUGAAUUGUAUUAUCAUUUUGUUUUACACCUACGAUUUAUCGACACCAAAAACCUUAUUUAUUAUCAAUUUUGUUGUUGAAGCUUUAUUAACAUUUAUUGGUCUUAUUGGUAUAACGAACUACAUGUAGUUACAUUUUCAACGUAACAGUGUUUUACGAAACAAAAAUGACACAAGCGGCAAAGAUUGGUUUGAGAAGCGAUCUAAAGAGACAUUUAGUUUCGAUUUCCAUGGGUGCAGAAUAAACUGUUCAAAUUACAUAACCUUAACAUUCAUUUCAUUUUUUUUCUUCUGGUUUUAAAACAAAGUCUGAAGACCAAAGUUAUACAUUUAACAGCUGCAAUGCCAACUAUUCAUUUUUUAUUAAAACAAAAUCACGUUUAUAUUAAACAAAGUUAAAUCGACUCGAAAUCAACAUUUCGAGUGAAUUUCAAAACUGAAAUAUUUCAAAACCUUGGAAUAUUUCUUUAUUCAAUAAGGCAAAAGCAGUUAAACUAUUGCAAAAGUAUAAAUUUGGAAACUGGGGGAAAAUGAAACAAAUUUGGUUUUAACUUGUAACAAUAUGUAUGCUCUUUAAAGCUAGAAUUGCACAAUACGCUUGAAGCAGGAACGGUAAAUUUGGAAAAUAUUUAUAAUAAAUAGUUAAAUACCUUGAAAUUUAUUGGAAUAUUUAAACAGUAACUAAACUAUUUAAUUUAGAUACAACUUUUAUAAACUGUAAACAGGAACUACAAUAAAAAUUAUCUUUUAGACCCGCUUUACCAAAUGUAGUCUGAAAUAGGAAUUUAACUAGGUCUAUUGUACGAAAAACAAAUAAAAGCUUCUGUGUAUCAAAUUUCAAAUUCAGAGGGUGCAUUUCAUUUGUUUCUGUUUGAAA
rnacentral:lncRNA from 1 species